AAGACUAUAGACCUGCGGAGUACCUGCGGAAGGAUCAUUACCGAGUUAUCAACUCCCAAACCCCUGUGAACAUACCCGAACGUUGCCUCGGCGGGACCGCCCCGGCGCCCCUAGCGGCCCGGAACCAGGCGCCCGCCGGAGGACCCAAACUCUUGCUUUAAACAGUGGCAUACUCUCUGAGUCUCACAAACAAAAAAUAAAUCAAAACUUUUAGCAAUGGAUCUCUAGAUCGGAAGAGCA
rnacentral:misc_RNA from 1 species